GCUGAUACAUCCCUAGUCACAAAAGUUUAAUCUGAAUGUUUGUUUUAGCAUAAGUUGUGUUUUGAACUGGACUGUGUUAUUUGGCCCAAAUUUCUAAAAUUCUAAAAAUCUGUCUAAAUAUUUGAUUACUGAUAGUAACAUAUCUCUACUUUUUAAUAAUUGUCUAUUAAGACUUGCAUGUGGUAGGUUUCCAUUUGCUCGAUUAUCAACGCUAGAUGGUCCAUGUCCAUGACUAUUUUACAGGAUGAGAAAGAGUGAGAGGGACAAAAGAAAAAGAGGGCCUUUCCUAUUUUACUGUUCAUACAAAGUUUUGGUUCCAUCACUCCUUUAAUGAUGAAAGAGAACCAAACCUUCCUGCUAACUACCAUAAUAAAUGGAUCAGCUCAAGAAUGUGUGUAAAAGAGCGAGGAUUUUUUUCCAAACUAAGAGAAAUUAAACCCUUUGAGCUUUAGGCUAACCCUUCCCUUUCUUGCCUAUAAAUUUAGUGGCAAAUAGGAAGAGGAAAGUGAAGGGUUAGCUUAAAGGAAAAGGAAAAAUGGACUCUGCACCAUCUCAGCAAGAAAUGUCAUACUUUGAUCAUGUCCAGAAACGCCGCGAGGAGAAAGGAUGCCCAUAUGCUUGUUUGUUCACGCUGUGUUGCUGCUUUUGUUGCUUUGAGAGUUGUGAGUGCUGCUUGGAGAGUAUCUGCUGUUGCUGCUCCUAGAUUACUUGAUGUAAAACAUGUUCAAGAUUAUCCUAAUGUGAAUUGUGCAAAUAAUGUUAGAAUUCUAAGUUUAUCUUCUUGAUAAAUUUAUGUUAUUUGUACAAAUUAUAUUGUUCUUGUAUGAUAAGUGAAUGGAAUUUUAUUGAGCUA